rnacentral:lncRNA from 9 species
GUUUAAAAUAAGACAGAAACAAUAAUUUGUAGUCAACUAAGAUAGCAAUUACCAAAUGACAGAUAAAAGUUUAUUCAAAAGUGAGUAUAAUAAUUAUGAGUUAACUUCAUUGAAGUGCCUACUAUAUGCCUGCUACUGUUUUGAGCUAUUUCAUGUGUAUAUUAAUUAAUUAUGAGUUUAGAUUCACUAGUCUCCUGAAGCACAAGGAUGAUAUUAUUAGUACUCCAAGUUAUUGAGGAAGUACAAAGAGGUUUACCUAGUUCCCUCCGGUUUACUCCACUUAUGCGUAGUAGAACUAAGAAAUAAACCCAGAUGAUGUUGCUUAAUGUAUGUAUGUACUUAUGAAUAUAUCACUUAAGAAAACAAAAUUUUAAAGCAAGUUCUGUAUGAUCAUAAUUGGCUCUGCCAGACUCAAUAUGGGGGCAGAGGUUUGAGGGAGGAAAUACUAUUUCCAUAUUUGAUAAAUCUAAUUCUAUGGUCCAGUGACUGGACACAUCUGAACAACCUGUUGAUAACCAAGGCUUUAACUAGAUGACAUGAAUAAAACUUUUUUUGUUUGUUUGUUUUAGGAAAGAAGAAUAUAAAUUAAAUAAUAAAAAUCUCUGUAGUGUAAACACUUUGAGACUAGUAAAUUGUCCUCAAUAUCCAAAUUUAAAUGUCUGCAUAAAGAGAAAAUCAAUGAAUCUUUUUCUAAUUCUCUCAAAAUAUUGAGAUAUCUUAAGCUCUGUCUGUUUUGCACCUGCCAAAUGAAUUAUUGAAUAUAUAAGGGUGAAGCUAAGCCAGAGCUAUUGAAAUUGGUUGCAACUGGAUAGAUGACCUUCACUGCUGAAAACUCCUGCAAAUGGCAACAUCACUCAAAGUUUGCAAGACUCUGCUGUGAAAACAAUACAAAGUGGCUUGCAUUAGAAUGUCUGCCUCAGGGAUCAAAAGACACAUUAUUUUGCUGAAGAUCUGGUAAUCUGUGAGUUCACUUACUACAAGCCAUGAAUAUACACUUACAAGAGGAACUGAAAGCUACUUAUUUCUGAAAGCUAGGUGAGUUAUGAAUGGAUACAAAAAGCUGCAUGUUGCCAAGAGUUUACUUAAGAACCUAUUUCAUUAAUCUAUUGUUAAAUCUCGGUGACAUUUAAUAACAUAGCAAAGUUCCCACUAAGCACAUGAACUUUGGGAAUUCUAAAAAUCUUUAGAAAGGCUUCUUAUCAAUAUGUUUUGAGGCUUUUAUGGGUUUAACUGCUGUUGCUUUUAUUUUUAGUUAUAAAUUACUAUUAAUUUAGCACCGUCAUUCUCAAUGUAAUUUCUAGCAG